rnacentral:rRNA from 1 species
UACAGUGGCGACCGGGUGAGUAACACGUGACUAACCUACCUUCGAGUGGGGGAUAACCUCGGGAAACCGAGGCUAAUACCGCAUAACAUCGAGAGAUCAAAGGAGCAAUUCGCUUGAAGAGGGGGUCGCGGCUGAUUAGCUAGUUGGCGGGGUAAUGGCCCACCAAGGCGAUGAUCGGUAUCCGGCCUGAGAGGGCGCACGGACACACUGGAACUGAAACACGGUCCAG